UGUACCCCUUUGUGCGGAAUAACUCCUGGAAACAGGGGCUAAUACCGCAUGUGGUUCGGACGGCGUAGGUCGACCGAGCGAAAGGUGCGCUUCGCGCGUGCCGCUAAGGGAUCAGCCCGCUUCCGAUUAGUUUGUUGGUGGGGUAACGGCCUACCAAGACUACGAUCGGUAGGUGGCCUGAGAGGGUGGUCACUCACACUGGGAUUGAGAUACUGCCCAGACCCCUACGGGGGGCAGCAGUCUAGGAGCUUGAACAAUGCGCGAAAGCGUGAUUUAGCGACGCCGCGUGCGGGAUGAAGGCCGGAAGGUCGUAAACCGCUGUCAGCAGGGAAGAAUGCCCCGAUGGUGAAUCGGGGAGCGACGGUACCUGCAGAGGAAGCCCCGGCUAACUCCGUGCCAGCAGCCGCGGUAAUACGGAGGGGGCAAACGUUGUUCGGAUUUACUGGGCGUAAAGAGUGCGUAGGCGGCUUGGUAAGUCUGGUGUCAAAUCUCCCCGCUCAACGGGGAAUCGGCACUGGAAACUGCUGAGAUCGAGGAUGGGAGAGGCAGGUGGAAUUCCGGGUGUAGCGGUGGAAUGCGUAGAUAUCCGGAAGAACACUCGUGGCGAAGGCGGCCUGCUGGCCCACUCCUGACGCUGAGGCACGAAAGCUAGGGGAGCGAACAGGCUUAGAUACCCUGGUAGUCCUAGCCGUAAACGGUGAACACUAGGUGUCGGGGGUAUCGACCCCCUCGGUGCCGGAGCUAACGCGUUAAGUGUUCCGCCUGGGGAGUACGACCGCAAGGUUGAAACUCAAAGGAAUUGACGGGUCCCCGCACAAGCGGUGGAGGAUGUGGCUUAAUUCGACGCAACGCGAAGAACCUUACCAGGGCUUAAACCGCAGGGUAAACCCCUUGAAAAAGGGGCUGCUUCGGCAAUCCUGUAGAGGUGCUGCAUGGCUGUCGUCAGCUCGUGUCGUGAGAUGUUGGGUUAAGUCCCGCAACGAGCGCAACCCUUGCCCUUAGUUGCCAGCGCGUAAUGGCGGGAACUCUAGGGGGACUGCCGUCGUAAGGCGGAGGAAGGUGGGGACGAGGUCAAUUCAUCAUGGCCCUUAUGUCCUGGGCUGCACACGUCCUACAAUGGCCGGUACAACGGGCAGCGAACUCGCGAGAGUAAGCGAAUCUCUUAAAGCCGGCCCCAGUUCAGAUUGCAGUCUGCAACCCGACUGCAUGAAGGAGGAAUCGCUAGUAAUCGCGGAUCAGCAUGCCGCGGUGAAUACGUUCCCGGGGAUUGUACACACCGCCCGUCACAUCACGAAAGUCGGCGGUAGCGGAAGUCGCUGAGCUAACCCGCAAGGGAGGCAGGCGCCGAUGCUAUGGCUGGUGAUUGGGAUGAAGUCGUAACAAGGUA
rnacentral:rRNA from 1 species